UUUCAUCCAUUUUCAACAAUUAAACCAAGACCACCGUCUUCUCCCUCCUACCUUCUUCUACCUUCUGCUUUCCUCACCCUUCUACCGUAGUCUCCCUUCGACCCUCGUCUCCCUACUACCCCUCAUUUCCCUUUUACCCCCUACCUCAACUUCCUACAAUUGAAGUCUUCUCACUGGUUAGUGUUUAGGUGGUUUCUUCGUUGCGGUUGUCUCUUCGUUCCGGUGUUGCGGUAGCCUGUUCUUCUGCGAUCGUCGUUCUCUUGUUCUGGUUCCUUCUCCUGUUUGGUGGCUUCCGUCGUUGUUUUGUUCUGCGUUUUUCGAUAACGUAGAUCCCGACGUCAUUUCCGUAGUCGUUGUAUUCGUUUCCAUCAUCGUCGUUGAUUUCUCCUCCUGUCUAAAUGAGCCAAAUCUUCUGCGUUAUGUGUUUCCCAUUUAUGACAGAUUAUGCGUACCCCUCGUUGAUCAUAGUGAACCAGAAUUUUUUCAGAUUUUGUCUUCCCCUCGUCCUGUGAAGCAUCUACAUUUUUCUUUUACAGUAAUUUAAUUUUAUGAACAUUCAAAUCCAAUACUAAUUUACUCGUAAUCGACCAACAUUGUCUUUGCCCUUUCACUAUUUUUUUGUCAUUUUGUCAGUUUUUAUUUUUUUAUUUAUAUUUGCUUUCAUGAAUUAUUGUUUAUUCUUUGAGUGUGAAAUCUUUCAAUGUUCCAACUGCAUUUUAAUUUAGGGGUAAAUAAGACGCGGAUAUAAUGUCAAGUACUCUGAUUUGCACUCAUCGUACCGGAUAUCAUCCUAGUGCGCCAAUUAUGUUCAGUACUCUCGCCUGAGCUGGGUUUGACUACUUAUGUAUCAAUUGCAGACAGUCAAUUCAUGUAUCAGUUUACGUUGUCAAUUGCUUAUUUAGACUUUUUAUGCAGUUUUAUGCGCUCAUGUUUCGUAGUUCUUGAAACUAUAGUUUUUUGUUUUUACAUAGAGGUAUAUUGGGUGGUGUUUUUUGUUGCAGGGAUUUUGGAGUUUCCCACAUCAACUAUCUACAUAUGUUGAAAUCAUUAGAGUAUUUCUGGUGUGUUAUUUACUGGAAUUCUUUUGUUUGAUUACUGACGGAUUACUUUUUUUGUUUGAAAUCAUCUUUAACAACAUUGUUUAAGUCAUGAUCACAUAUUACAACUUCAUCUCAUUUUUUAAACGCCGUCUUUUCUGAAGUCUUUUUUAUUUACUUUGUAUUCAUAUUCUUCUAGUGGUUCAAUCUAUUUCUUCUUAUUGUCAUUCUUCGUAUAAUUUUUUGUUAGAUCGGAUGACUUUGUUUUAAUUCAUUCUUUCUUUUUUUGUUGUCAGCAGUUCUAGACAUCUAUUUCUUACCAAUGGAUUUAGUUUCAGUUCCUUCUUCAUCCGAUCCCCGUGGUCGUUCUCUAGAAAUUUAUCAAACUUUGGAUAUGAUAUCUCCUAUGUACUUUCAUUAUUCUAUUCUUAAAUCUAUAACUCUAUUUGGUCAUAAAACCAAUGCUUUCCUUACAUAGUAAUAAUGCUUCCAAGAUUCCACAGAAACGGAAACACUACGUUCAAACAAUCAAUGGCGCCACAGUGUUGGAAAUUGAUAAUACGGAAGGUAUGGUGUUCAUUACAAUUUAUAUCUCCUGCCAUCACAUAUAUGCGCUAUUUGCGCUAAACGUCUCACGUGCCUCUAAUUCUUAUCCAAAGAUCAACUUUUCGUACUAUCAGUUUCUCAGUAAUUGAACCAUUGAUGGACACAUCUCGAAGCAAUGAGACAAUUGUCUGCCAACCCGUCAAUCAACACACUAUUCAUAAAGUCGUUUUUCAUUUUUUUUCCUACAGUCUUUAAUAUCGAUGUGAUUGCGUCUGAAUAUAUUCAUCUGUACCACUGUACAUUAUUCGUUUGUACUAUUUUACAUAUUCGAUCAGUACUACUGUCCUAAUUUGUACUGCUAUCUGAAUUUCUAAUUUUAUUUAUCCACUUUAUUAGUACUAA
rnacentral:lncRNA from 1 species